UGUGGCAGCGGCAUUCUGGGGGCAUGGUGUGGUGUUCUGGGUGUGUUCUGGAAUGGGGCAGGCAAGGGCAUGGGCAUGACAGCAGCACAAGGUGCACGCUUGCCCCGGGUGCAGUUUCCUCUAGCUCUGGCCCUGCUGCUUGGGCAACAUUUCUUCUGUGUUUUGUUUAGCUGUUGUAUUUUUCAGCCACAUCGUUUCUUAAACUGUUGUGUAAUAUUGUAGUCUAUUAAACCAUUCCUCUUUUCACUGCAUAAAAAGUUACAGUUCCAUAGCAGAUAAAGAGAUGUUUCAGGGAAUGUUUGCAGCAUUAUCGACUACAACUGAUUGUCUUGAAUGUACUGUGGCCUUCCAUCAAGAUGAAAAGGGCUAUAUAAAUGAGAGUGGGAAAACGGAUGCACUGCAACCUCUUAAAUAGCUGAGAAAGAAACAGCAUAGAUAUGACUUCUCCAUUACCCUUUGAGUGACAUCUGGAUGCUUUCUUGCCCUUUCCUGAACCUCAAGGCAGCAGUUUUCAACAGUACCUGCACCAUACAGCACCCAAGCCUUGUACUGGCUGGCCUACUGCAACUCCAGUCAUUCAGUCAGUCAGUCAGUCGGUGACCUAGGAUGUGUCAGCAGGAUCGACGCUGGUGUGUAACAGACUUCCCCCUGUGAUACACCCCUGAAGAUGCCAGCCACAGAUGCAGGCGAAACAUUAGGAACAAGAUCCACCAGACCAUCGUCACACAGCCCAGAAAAUCCACCAGAACCAUAUCCAGUUUUGUUUACUAUGACUAUUUCCUUCUGCUAUCCUCCAUGGUGCUCAUCUGUAAUACAUUUCAAGUAGAUGGGAUCUCUGUUUACUGAAACAAGAUAUAAAUUUCUCAGAAUGGCAUAACAAAUAUUUUAGACUGAAUGGUGUUCCAGUUUAAAAAAAUCUAUUUUCUUAUCUCCUUAACUGAAACCAUGCAUGACUUAAUGUAGGUAGAUGAAAUACUCUUUAUUGCAUUCAGGUGAACUUUCCCUUCCCCUUUCCACAAUAGACACCUUGUCAGGUAGAUAGGGCUGAGAGAGUUCUGAGAGAUCUGUCUGGCCCAAGGUCACUCAGCAGGCUCCAUGUGGAAAAGUGGGGAAUUAAACCUGGUUCUCCAAAUUAGAGUCCGCCUCUUCUAACUAUUACACCACACUACCUCCAGAGAUGUGGUGCUGCUGCUGCUACUACAAUUAAUAAUAACAUACAUCUCUAGUAGUAGUAGUAGUAGAAGUAGUAGAAGUAGUAGUGUACUAUUUCUAAAUAACAACUAGAUAAAAUGUUCGAAUCUUACCUAUUCUGUACAGAAGGCUUUCUAUACAAAUACAGUUUUCAGAAGUGAACAUUCUCAAAUGGUGGCUUUUUAAUAGUCCCAGUGCAGUUAAGAAAAUGAACAGACAUGAAAGAUCAUACAAAGAUAUUCCUACUCAAUCGUCAAUGUUAUUCUCUCUCUGUAUGGGUAGAAGCCACGUUUUUUGCUUAAUGUCUAACAAAAACAAAUCUAUGGUUCUAAAAGAAGAGUUCAAAGUUUUAUUGAAGCUCCCACUGAAGUUGAUUUUGUGAUGAAUUUUUUCCUUUUUGGUUUUAAUCUAUAUCUCCACUUUAAAUCUUUAGGUAACAUUUUGCUUCUUUUAUCAUCACUUCAUGUCUGUGCCUCUUGGGCUUUGCACAGAACUCCUUCCCCCCCACCUUUUUUUCUUCCUUUUCUGAGAGGUUUUGUUAUCACUGAAGAGAUAGCAUCAGAUGCUCAGGCAUAUUUGAGCUCCCUUAGAAAUGUGUUUUUUGUCAGCCCCUGAAUAUAUUUGGCAGCAAAGAAGAACAACACAGAAGGCCUCAUUUAAUGAAAACAUCCUCCAUUAGCCUUUUGCAGAAAAUAUAUAUGGAAAAUAAUACAUUCUGAAUUUAAACAGUGCAUGAAAAGAACCCCUUUUGCAGGCAUAGGGACUAUCUGGUUAGAAAGAGUUCGUUGUUUUGAAUUACUGAAUAAUUCUUAUUUUCUUCUUCUCCUUGUAUGAGUUAUAUUUAGCAGGAAAGCAUGGAAGGAGAUGUGGCCACCUUGUUCUUAGGUCAGCCAAGCAAAUGUAUUUUGUUAGCAUGUAAAAAGGCAUAUCAGUGAAGCAUAUUAGAUCCCAUUUUGCAGUAGUUCUAAGGGAAAGCCUCAAGGGAAGAGCUAUGCCUUUUAUGACUCCAAAGAAACAUGCAUGCUGACUGCUUUUAGAAUGGGAUGGGGGGGGGGGAGGAGAUUAUGAUGUCAUUUAGACUUGGAAAGAAAGAGAGGCUGAAGUAGCUAUAAUGUUAUGCUUCCCUGGCAAUGGGCUGAAACUGGUGUCAUUCUGCAUAAGCAUGCACUACUAAAUACUUACAUAGUUCUUCACUUGGGAUAAAUUACCAUUCACAGCAAGAGAAGGAAGGUUUGUAUGGAAUGCUAUCUUGUGGUAAAAGAUGAAUGGAAAGAUAGGCAAGCAAAAUUCUAUUCCAAGUCACUGAUUUAUAUUUGUGAAAAUGCUACCUUUGUUUUUAGGGAUAUAUGAACCUACACAUUUUCAGUUACUCUGGGGGUCUUUAAUGUCUGUGGAACACUGCUCCCAAAGCUCCCCUGCCCCAAUCCAAAAUUGAGUGUUUUGCUGCCCUUAUGGUCAUUUUCAUGAUUGCUUUUUUUACUGUCCUUUUUAGCAGUUUUAUGUCAUCUUAAAAGACACGAUUAAAAUGUGUUUACAUGACAUAUUUUAAGUGUUUGAACUUCUUUUCCUGCUUCCCAGAGUUAUAUAUGGCAUGAAAUUAUCCUCUUUUGUUUAUAUUUCCCAACCUAUGACAAACUGGACUUCCCAUUAUAUUGUUUCUAUUUAAAAUUACCUAAUCUUAGUGCUUGUACAUAUUAUUUAAAUAAUGAAAAUGGACUCUUCUUUUCCCAUAAAAGUGGAAUGUUUCUAUGCCAAUCUUCUUUUUAAAAAUAACCCCUUUUAAACUUCUAACAGCCUAUUUGUUUUUGGAUAUCAAUCUAGUUCAAUUCAGAACAUUUUUAGUAGUUUCUGGUUGGCAACUUUUUGAAGAACAUUUAUUUUCUAGGCAGGCAUGAGAGGUUUUACUUGAUUAACAUGACAAACACAAAGACCAGAGAGACCAGGGAAGGUCUGUCACUGCAGUCACACCUAUAGACAAUCUUCCUGCAAUGCCAGAGGCUACCCUGCUAGAACUUCUAAAGACGACCUCACCAUUGGCCCCUGAGAGAUCUACCAAGUCUCCACUGAACUGGAUAAAAACUCAUACUGCCCAGAACCCACUUCCAAUUUACAAGAAUGAAAUUAUGCCUUCAAAAUCUCACUUUUAAGAAAGUCCCAUUGAUCAUGCACUCCCUCCUUUCUCUCCAUUCUGUUUGGUGGGGGCCUGUGCCUUUAAGAGGAUGUGCUAAUGGGUGUGGCAUGACUAGCAGGGAAGAUCCUUAUAGCUGCUACUUUUUGAUUGAUUGGUUUCCUGUGUCCAUUCCAACUACCUCAUUAUGCCGCUAUGAUGUGCUCAAUUGUGCAGUUGCUAGGAUUUCUGGCAUGGCUGUGACCAAUGUGUCCUCCCCUUGCUCCAUCGGAUUGCUUUCCUGGUCCCUGGACUUAGUGGGUCUCUUCUAGGGGAAGAGACCAGUGGUGCAGCUGCAGCUUCAGCCAUCCACCUCCACUUUGGCAGUGCUCAAGAUUAAGACCUUUCCACACCCGCACAGAACCGAGCCUCCACCGGCAUAAUUUAUGCAGGCGGAGGCUCGGGGGCCGUUUGCACACUAGCGUGCGAGCGGCUGGCACUUCUCCCUCAGCCGAAGAGGCGGCUCCAUGCCUCCAGGGGUUAGAGAGCACAUGGGAGGGUCUCUGCAGCCCUCCAGAGUGACGCUGGACAGUGAGUGGAGGGGAGGGGGAAAGAAGCGUAUUCCCGCCGGUGCUGUUCGCACCGCACCGAUGGGAAGACAGUGCUUUGGAAAAAUCUCGCUUCACGCCGCUCCCAGGUGGCCAAGACAGCGCUGCUGCAAUGCGAACAGCAACCCAGGGACCACGUUUUUGCUGUCCCUGGACCGCUGUGUUACACUUGUGCAGAAAGGGCCAAAGUCAAGUGUGUAGGUGGAAAAUACAACACCAUAAAGGAAUUUUUCUCUCGAAACCAAUACAAUGACUUUUCUGUUCCCCAAACAAACUAAAAUCAGGAGCCUUGCACUUGGCCAGAACAGAGUGUAAGACCCACAGAUGAAUGAAUAAUAGUUCAAAAAUGAUUUAAUAAUAUUGAAAGUUUAGGACUCUGACUCCUCCCAUGAAGUCUAACUAUUGAAGAAUACUUGUGAUGUUGGAAACAAUUAGAGAUUAUUGAGGAGCUUAUGGACACCAACUCUUCCUUGCUUGCUUCCAAGAAAGUCUAGUCCAGUUAUUCUUCUUCUGAGUUCUCCCAGUAUCCUGUAACUGAACUCUGUUUGUCCUACAAUCCUGUUGAAACUUGCUUAAUCUGAGUUCUAAGGAUCUCUAACACCUUAAAUGUCUGAAAUAUUUCUGUCUCCAGCCUUCCCCAGACACCUGAAGCUAAAACAAACUGAAAAAGGGGACUGCUAACUAAUAAAAAAUGCUGUAUUGCUCCUUGCCUAUAGAGGGCUUUUUAAAGGGACAGGGUCUAACUAAGGUUCCUUCCCACAGAAUACUAUACAAAAAACCUAAGCCCAUUCUAACUAAGGGUAUAACUGAGGCUUAAAUAAAUAAAAUAGCAAAAGUGUCACUAGGGGGAUGACAAUGACAGUAUUUUAAAAUUAGAGGCUCAUGAACAAGUUAAUAUUAUUCCUGAAUUCAUUGUUAGAAAAAUGAAAAUCAAGCAUGUUUGCUCAGAGGAUAGAAAACUUCAGCUCUGAGCACAUAAUAUGGAUCUCAUUCUAGUUAUAGGUGUUUGUGAACUGGAAACUACACACAAGGGAAAUAUUGUAAUGAUUCAGUUUGUAAUUGGUUCAGGAAAAGAAGUGUCUAUUAUUGAAUUAACAGCAUACAAAACACUCAGUUUAAUUCCAAUAGUAUAUGAUGCUCAACAGAAAGUCAUAAGUUCUACAGAUUCAUAAUUACAAGAUGUCUUUCAAGUUGUUGACUCAAUACCAAAAGAACUGAUUAAGCUAACUGUCUUACUUAACUGAAUGAGAAACUGAACAGUUAGAUUUUUUUCAGGUUUCACUGAGCGAACUGUACCGCCAAGAGGCAAAAAUUUUUUUUUUAGAACUGAGGGAUUUGGAGGUAAUAAGCAUGCAAAUGAUGAAGGAAAACAGUUUUAUUGAAAUCUCGACAGUAAUAUACAUCAAAGAAAUCAACAUAAAAAACAGAGAAUAUAACCUCGUGCCCUUCCAGUUGAUUGGGAACCCUGAAAAAUGACAGCUGGCAGAUUUCUACAAUGACAGGAGGUGGGGAAGGCUCAAUUGCCCAGAAGAGAUGGCUUGUUUUAAAGUAUGCAUGCCUAUUUGCAUGAUUAGGCUGCUUCUAGAAGGUGUGGGAGGCUCAAUUGCACUGCAGAAAUGACUCAUUCUACAUCAUGAGCACACCCUUCCCUGGUUUAUGCUACUGAUAGGAGCUAGAGGAGGCUCAAUUGCACAGAAGAGUUGGCUUGUUCUGCAACACAAGUGGCUGAUUCCCCCAAUUGGGCUACUGCUAUGAGGGGAGGGGAGGGGAGGGGAGGCUCAAUUGCCCAGCAAAGAGGACUUGUUCUGCAGCACACACUCCCCAUUCUUUUGCUAAGAGGAGACAGGUCUUGUUCUGCAGUGCACAUGGCUAGUUCUCCCAAUUGGGCUGCUGCCAGGAGCUAGGGAAGGCUUCAUUAGCUGGAAGUGAUUGCAUGUUCUGCAGUGCAUGGAACAGUUGCCCCAGAUAGGGCUGCCACUAGGAGGUGGGGGAAGCUCAAUUGCCCAGCAUUUUACAUCAUGCAUUGGAGGGGACAUGUAAAUUGGAAUCACAUUCACACUUAUUUUCAUAUAUGAUUACAGCGGCUAGGAUAACUUUAGCAAAACUAUGGAAGACAGACAAACUGCCACUUAGGGAAGACUGGGAAACUAAAGUAUCAUACUACGUGAAUAUGGACAGGUUACUGAACCAACUGAAAGAACUUUCUUCAGAUGACUACAAAGCAAAAUGGGAACCCUGGUUUCAGUACUUAUCCAAAACUACUAAGAUCACGUUAAUCCAAUUGAAUACUGAUGUUAUAAUUAUGAAUGUUAUCUACAAAGAAUCAGUGAGAAUUACAUAAGUCUUCUUAGAUCUGAUGUUAACUAUAGAUAUUAAAUCUUUUAAACAAUCUUUGUAUUUGAUAUUAUAAACGGCUUAGCUAUAGUAAUAUGUAUGUAAGAUGGUUCAGGAAGGUGGAAAGUUCUGUAGGGGGAGUCUGGGAAAAGGGAGGGGGAGGGGAUGGGUGUUAGGUCUAUUUUUCUUAAAUUGUAAAGUAAUCUCUUGUCUCCCUUUCAUUCUGGUUGGUGGAAAUAGUUCAAUUGGAUGAUGGAGUUCACAUAGAAAAUGAACCCAAGUGGGUUCAUAACAUAUGUUUAUACAAACUUUACUGUAUUUCUUAAUUGCCUCCUUUGUAUUUUUGUUAUAAUUGCUAUUGUUUAUUCAUCUGCUUUAAUUUCGUUAUUUGAACUAUUGUCACUAAAUAAGUCAUGACGCACGUGUAUUGCUUUACAUUAGCAUGAAAAAUUCUUUACUUUUUUAA